GAUGAACGCUGGCGGCGUGCCUAAUACAUGCAAGUCGAGCGAACAGACGAGGAGCUUGCUCCUCUGACGUUAGCGGCGGACGGGUGAGUAACACGUGGAUAACCUACCUAUAAGACUGGGAUAACUUCGGGAAACCGGAUCUAAUACCGGAUAAUAUAUUGAACCGCAGGGUUCAAUUGUAAAAGACGGUUUUGCUGUCACUUAUAGAUGGAUCCGCGCCGCAUUAGCGAGUUGGUAAGGUAACGGCUUACCAAGGCAACGAUGCGUAGCCGACCUGAGAGGGUGAUCGGCCACACUGGAACUGAGGCACGGUCCAGACUCCUACGGGAGGAAGCAGUAGGGAAUCUUCCGCAAUGGGCGAAAGCCUGACGGAGCAAAGCCGCGUGAGUGAUGUAGGUCUUCGGAUCGUAAAACUAUGUUAUUAGGGAAGAACAAAUGUGUAAGUAACUAUGCACGUAUUGACGGUACCUAAUCAGAAAGCCACGGCUAACUACGUG
rnacentral:rRNA from 1 species